rnacentral:rRNA from 1 species
UGAACCUGCGGAAGGAUCAUUACAAUUUCGUAUGUCCUUUGUGACUGCGUCGGGGGGCCCUGGAAUAUUGCUCGCAGUUGCCCAGGCCCCCGUCUGCACCCUUGUCUUUUGCGUACUUAUGUUUCCUCGGUGGGCUUGCCCACCGAUAGGACAACCUUUAACACCUUUUUAAUUUUUCAAUCAGCGUCUGAAUAAAUAUAAUAUUUACAACUUUCAACAACGGAUCUCUUGGUUCUGGCAUCGAUGAAGAACGCAGCGAAAUGCGAUAAGUAGUGUGAAUUGCAGAAUUCAGUGAAUCAUCGAAUCUUUGAACGCACAUUGCGCCCUAUGGUAUUCCGUAGGGCAUGCCUGUUCGAGCGUCAUUUGUACCCUCAAGCUUUGCUUGGUGUUGGGUGUUUGUCCGAGCAAACUGCAAGGACUCGCCUUAAAAGUAUUGGCAGCCAGUGUAUCAGUCUUGGAGCGCAGCACAAUUUGCGUCUCUAGCAGUUAUUCUGGUAUCCAGUAAGCCUAUUUUAACGCUUGACCUCGGAUCAGGUAGGGAUACCCGCUGAACUUAAGCAUAUCAAUAAGCGGAGGAAAAGAAACCAACAGGGAUUGCCUCAGUAACG